UGCUUAUUGGGAUCCGACUAAGCCAUGCGAGUCGAGAGGGUUCGGCCCUCGGCUGACGGCUCAGUAACACGUGGAUAAUCUGCCCUAAGGUGGAGGAUAACCUCGGGAAACUGAGAAUAAUACUCCAUAAGUCUAGGAUGCUGGAAUGCACUUAGACUAAAAACUUCGGUGCCUUAGGAUGAGUCUGCGGACUAUCAGGUUGUAGUCAGGGUAAAGACCUGACUAGCCUACGACGGAUACGGGUUGUGAGAGCAAUAACCCGGAGAUGAUAUCUGAGACACGAUAUCAGGCCCUACGGGGCGCAGCAGGCGCGAAAACUUCGCACUGUGCGAAAGCACGACGAGGGAAUCCCAAGUGCUGGCUCGUAAGAGUCAGCUGUUUCUUUGUCUAAAAAACAGAGAGAGUAAGAGCUGGGUAAGACGGGUGCCAGCCGCCGCGGUAAUACCUGCAGCUCAAGUGGUGGCCGCUAUUAUUGGGCCUAAAACGUCCGUAGCCGGUUCUAUAAAUGCCUGGGUAAAUCGUACGGCUUAACCGUACGAAUUCCGGGUAGACUGUUCAACUUGGGACCGGGAGAGGCUAGAGGUACUCCUGGGGUANAGGUGAAUUCUGUAAUCCUAGGGGGACCACAGUGGC
rnacentral:rRNA from 1 species